rnacentral:rRNA from 1 species
CGUAGGGGGCAAGCGUUGUCCGGAUUUAUUGGGCGUAAAGAGCGUGUAGGCGGCUGGGUAGGUCCGUUGUGAAAACUCGAGGCUCAACCUCGAGACGCCGAUGGAAACCCUCCAGCUAGAGUCCGGAAGAGGAGAGUGGAAUUCCUGGUGUAGCGGUGGAAUGCGCAGAUAUCAGGAAGAACACCCGUGGCUAAGGCGGCUCUCUAGUACGGUACUGACGCUGAGACGCGAAAGCGUGGGGAGCGAACAGGAUUAGAUACCCUGGUAGUCCACGCCGUAAACGAUGGGUGCUAGGUGUAGGGGGUGUCGACUCCCUCUGUGCCGAAGCUAACGCAUUAAGCACCCCGCCUGGGGAGUACGGCCGCAAGGCUA